CCUACGGGAGGCAGCAGUGAGGAAUAUUGGUCAAUGGUCGCAAGACUGAACCAGCCAUGCCGCGUGAAGGAAGAAGGAUCUAUGGUUUGUAAACUUCUUUUAUUUGGGAAUAAACCCCUCUACGUGUAGAGGACUGAAGGUACCAAAUGAAUAAGCACCGGCUAACUCCGUGCCAGCAGCCGCGGUAAUACGGAGGGUGCAAGCGUUAUCCGGAAUCAUUGGGUUUAAAGGGUCCGCAGGCGGGAAUGUAAGUCAGAGGUGAAAUCCUACAGCUCAACUGUAGAACUGCCUUUGAUACUGCGUUUCUUGAAUUCGAUCGAAGUGGGCGGAAUAUGACAUGUAGCGGUGAAAUGCAUAGAUAUGUCAUAGAACACCGAUAGCGAAGGCAGCUCACUAGGUCUGAAUUGACGCUCAUGGACGAAAGCGUGGGGAGCAAACAGGAUUAGAUACCCUGGUAGUCCACGCCGUAAACUAUGAUUACUCGUUAUUGGCGAUAUACAGUCAGUGACUAAGCGAAAGUGAUAAGUAAUCCACCUGGGGAGUACGAUCGCAAGGUUGAAACUCAAAGGAAUUGACGG
rnacentral:rRNA from 1 species